GAGUUUGAUCAUGGCUCAGAUUGAACGCUGGCGGCAGGCCUAACACAUGCAAGUCGAGCGGCAGCACGGGUACUUGUACCUGGUGGCGAGCGGCGGACGGGUGAGUAAUGCCUAGGAAUCUGCCUGGUAGUGGGGGAUAACGCUCGGAAACGGACGCUAAUACCGCAUACGUCCUACGGGAGAAAGCAGGGGACCUUCGGGCCUUGCGCUAUCAGAUGAGCCUAGGUCGGAUUAGCUAGUUGGUGAGGUAAUGGCUCACCAAGGCGACGAUCCGUAACUGGUCUGAGAGGAUGAUCAGUCACACUGGAACUGAGACACGGUCCAGACUCCUACGGGAGGCAGCAGUGGGGAAUAUUGGACAAUGGGCGAAAGCCUGAUCCAGCCAUGCCGCGUGUGUGAAGAAGGUCUUCGGAUUGUAAAGCACUUUAAGUUGGGAGGAAGGGCAGUAAAUUAAUACUUUGCUGUUUUGACGUUACCGACAGAAUAAGCACCGGCUAACUCUGUGCCAGCAGCCGCGGUAAUACAGAGGGUGCAAGCGUUAAUCGGAAUUACUGGGCGUAAAGCGCGCGUAGGUGGUUUGUUAAGUUGGAUGUGAAAUCCCCGGGCUCAACCUGGGAACUGCAUUCAAAACUGACAAGCUAGAGUAUGGUAGAGGGUGGUGGAAUUUCCUGUGUAGCGGUGAAAUGUGUAGAUAUAGGAAGGAACACCAGUGGCGAAGGCGACCACCUGGACUGAUACUGACACUGAGGUGCGAAAGCGUG
rnacentral:rRNA from 1 species